UACGUAGGGGGCAAGCGUUGUCCGGAUUUAUUGGGCGUAAAGAGCGUGUAGGCGGCCUGAAAGGUCAGCUGUGAAAACUCGAGGCUCAACCUCGAGACGUCGGUUGAAACCAUCUGGCUAGAGUCCGGAAGAGGAGUGUGGAAUUCCCGGUGUAGCGGUGGAAUGCGCAGAUAUCGGGAGGAACACCUGUGGCGAAGGCGGCCCCCUGGUUGGAUACUGACGCUGAGACGCGAAAGCGUGGGGAGCAAACAGG
rnacentral:rRNA from 1 species